CAAGUCGAGCGGACCGACGGGAGCUUGCUCCCUUAGGUCAGCGGCGGACGGGUGAGUAACACGUGGGUAACCUGCCUGUAAGACUGGGAUAACUCCGGGAAACCGGGGCUAAUACCGGAUGCUUGAUUGAACCGCAUGGUUCAAUCAUAAAAGGUGGCUUUUAGCUACCACUUGCAGAUGGACCCGCGGCGCAUUAACUAGUUGGUGAGGUAACGGCUCACCAAGGCGACGAUGCGUAGCCGACCUGAGAGGGUGAUCGGCCACACUGGGACUGAAACACGGCCCAGACUCCUACGGGAGGCAGCAGUAGGGAAUCUUCCGCAAUGGACGAAAGUCUGACGGAACAACGCCGCGUGAGUGAUGAAGGUUUUCGGAUCGUAAAACUCUGUUGUUAGGGAAGAACAAGUACCGUUCGAAUAGGGCGGUACCUUGACGGUACCUAACCAGAAAGCCACGGCUAACUACGUGCCACCCCCCGCGGUAAUACGUAAGUGGCAAGCGUUGUCCGGAAUUAUUGGGCGUAAAGCGCGCGCAGGCGGUUUCUUAAGUCUGAUGUGAAAGCCCCCGGCUCAACCGGGGAGGGUCAUUGGAAACUGGGGAACUUGAGUGCAGAAGAGAGAGUGGAAUUCCACGUGUAGCGGUGAAAUGCGUAGAGAUGUGGAGGAACACCAGUGGCGAAGGCGACUCUCUGGUCUGUAACUGACGCUGAGGCGCGAAAGCGUGGGGAGCGAACAGGAUUAGAUACCCUGGUAGUCCACGCCGUAACGAUGAGUGCUAGUGUUAGAGGGUUUCCCGCCCUUUAUGCUGCAGCAAACGCAUUAAGCACUUCCGCCUGGGAGUACGGUCGCAAGACUGAACUCAAGGGAUUGACGGGGCCC
rnacentral:rRNA from 1 species